GCCACUCUGAAAGCGUGUUAAUGGGGCGGCACAGCAAAACAGUUGUUCAUUUUGUGAUAAAAGCAUGGAAUUUGGCACACAUAUUCUAAAUUAACU